rnacentral:rRNA from 1 species
GCAAGUCGAGGGAGAAGUUAAAGCUUGCUUUAAUGGAAACCGGCGCACGGGUGCGUAACACGUAUGCAACCUACCUUUAACUGGGGAAUAGCCUUUCGAAAGGAAGAUUAAUACCGCAUAAUAUUACGAAGAGGCAUCUCUUUGUAAUAAAACCUCCGGGGGUUAAAGAUGGGCAUGCGUCUGAUUAGUUUGUUGGUGAGGUAACGGCUCACCAAGGCAACGAUGGGUAGGGGGCCUGAGAGGGUGGUC